rnacentral:rRNA from 1 species
GACGAACGCUGGCGGCGUGCCUAAUACAUGCAAGUCGAACGCUGAAGCGAGGAGCUUGCUCUUCUUGCGUGAGUUGCGAACGGGUGAGUAACGCGUAGGUAACCUGCCUUGUAGCGGGGGAUAACUAUUGGAAACGAUAGCUAAUACCGCAUAACAUUUGAUGACACAUGUCUUUUAUUUGAAAGGCGCAAUUGCUCCCAUACAAGAUGGAACUGCGUUGUCUUAGCUAGUAGGUUAGGUAAUGGCUCACCUAGGCCAAGAUACAUAACCCGCCUGAGAGGGGGAUCGGCCAACCUGGGACUGAGACACGGCCCAGGCUCCUACGGGAGGGAGCAGUAGGGGAUCUUCGGCCAUUGGGGGAACGCCUACCGGGGAAACCCGCGGUAGGGGAGGAGGGUUUCGGAUCCUAAAGACCCGGUGUAAGGGAAGAAAGGAAGUGGGAGGGAAAAAUGCACACUGUGACGGUAGCUUAUCAGAAAGGCACGGCUAACUACGUG